rnacentral:lncRNA from 1 species
GUGUGCGUCAAGUAAUGUUCAACUGCGUGUGAGUUAUAUAGCAUCUGUUGAAAAUAGGUUAUCGGAUUUGCUAUCCCGUUGGAAUCUUUCGGAGAAGAACAGAUCACAGUUUUUUAUAGAAUCUAAACUUUACAAUUCAGAUUUUAUUGAGAAAGAAGUGUUUGGUCAUAUGUUUAAUGAUAUUAUAAACAUUUAGGUUUUCAUACAUGAUACAUUGACAUUUUUUUUUUGCGCAUAUUUAGUGUCAGAUAAGACUAACUUUGAUAAUUAAUAUGACAUUGUUGUUUAUCUAAUUACUGUUGUUUAUGACUUCCAGGUCUUAAGUCCAGAAGAGCAGUUUUGCAGAAAG